AGACAGCCGGUUGCUGAGCCGGGAGCGCUGACUGGCCCGGCUGGGCAGGGCAACCCACCCCUGAUUGGACAGUCUCAUCAAGAAGGUUGGUCAAGAGCUCAAGUGUUUCUGAGAAUCUGGGUGAUUUAUAAGAAACCCUUAGCUGAAUGCAGGGUGGGGAGAACGAAAGACAAAAGCAUCUUUUUUCAGAAGGGAAACUGAAAGAAAGAGGGGAAGAGUAUUAAAGACCAUUUCUGGCUGGGCAGGGCACUCUCAGCAGCUCAACUGCCCAGCGUGACCAGUGGCCACCUCUGCAGUGUCUUCCACAACCUGGGUGAAUCUACUUCUCUUAACAAAGUCUCAAUGUCCUAUUUGCAAUUUAUGUGGUAAACACUGAAGACAAUGGUCCUUAACCUUUUGGCAUCUCAGCCUCCUUUCGAAAGUCUUGACUCGUCUGCUGAACAAAUCCUCUGACCUCAGGCCGGCUGUGAACGUAGUUCCUGAGAGAUAGCAAACAUGCCCAACAGUGAGCCCGCAUCUCUGCUGGAGCUGUUCAACAGCAUCGCCACACAAGGGGAGCUCGUAAGGUCCCU
rnacentral:lncRNA from 1 species